UACGGGGGGGGUAAGCGUUGUUCGGAAUUACUGGGCGUAAAGGGCUCGUAGGCGGCCAACUAAGUCGGACGUGAAAUCCCUCAGCUUAACUGGGGAACUGCGUCCGAUACUGGAUGGCUUGGAUUUGGGAGAGGGAUGCGGAAUUCCAGGUGUAGCGGUGAAAUGCGUAGAUAUCUGGAGGAACACCGGUGGCGAAGGCGGCAUCCUGGACCAAUAUUGACGCUGAGGAGCGAAAGCCAGGGGAGCAAAGCGGG
rnacentral:rRNA from 1 species